AAGUGGAAGUACUAUAAUCAGCACUAUUACAUGCUUAUUAGCAGCGUACCGUAAACCUCCGAAUAUAAGCCCCCCCCCGAAUAUAAGCCCCUCCCGAAUAUAAGCUCCCCCCCGUGUAUAAGCCCACCACAUGUAGUAACGCUCACCUCAUUCCAAAUAUAAGCCCCCCCCGAAUAUAAACCCACUUGUUUAUCAGUUAUCACCAUUUAUUGUUUAUCACUAUUACCACUUACCACUAUUAAUCACUAUUAUUACUAUGCUAGUAUGCUUAACACUUGUUUAUCACUAUUACUAUACUUGUUUGUCACUAUUACA